GUGUUCGCUUCGGCAGCACAUGUACUAAAAUUGGAACGAUACAGAAAAGAUUAGCAUGGCCCCUGCACAGCGAUGACACACAAAUUCAAGGAGCAUUCCAUAAUUUU